CCUACGGGUGGCUGCAGUGGGGGAUAUUGCACAAUGGGGGGAACCCUGAUGCAGCGACGCCGCGUGGGUGAAGGAGUGCUUCGGCAUGUAAAGCUCUAUCGGCAGGGAAGAAGCAAGACGGUACCUGACUAAGAAGCCCCGGCUAACUACGUGCCAGCAGCCGCGGUAAGACGUAGGGGGCGAGCGUUAUCCGGAUUCACAGGGUGUAAAGGGAGCGUAGGCGGUCAUGGAAGCCAGGGGUGAAAGCCCGGGGCUCAACCCCGGGACUGCCCGUGAAACUGGAUGGCUGGAGUGCAGGAGUGGCAGGCGGAAUUCCUGGUGUAGCGGUGAAAUGCGUAGAUAUCAGGAGGAACACCGGCGGCGAAGGCGGCCUGCUGGACCGCGACUGACGUUGAGGCUCGAAAGCGUGGGGAGCGAACAGGAUUAGAUACCCGAGUAGUC
rnacentral:rRNA from 1 species